AGUGAACGCUGGCGGUAGGCCUAACACAUGCAAGUCGAACGGCAGCACAGUAAGAGCUUGCUCUUACGGGUGGCGAGUGGCGGACGGGUGAGGAAUACAUCGGAAUCUACUUUUUCGUGGGGGAUAACGUAGGGAAACUUACGCUAAUACCGCAUACGACCUACGGGUGAAAGCAGGGGAUCUUCGGACCUUGCGCGAUUGAAUGAGCCGAUGUCGGAUUAGCUAGUUGGCGGGGUAAAGGCCCACCAAGGCGACGAUCCGUAGCUGGUCUGAGAGGAUGAUCAGCCACACUGGAACUGAGACACGGUCCAGACCCCUACGGGAGGCAGCAGUGGGGAAUAUUGGACAAUGGGCGCAAGCCUGAUCCAGCCAUACCGCGUGGGUGAAGAAGGCCUUCGGGUUGUAAAGCCCUUUUGUUGGGAAAGAAAAGCAGCAGGUUAAUACCCCGCUGUUCUGACGGUACCCAAAGAAUAAGCACCGGCUAACUUCAUG
rnacentral:rRNA from 1 species